rnacentral:rRNA from 1 species
UACAGAGGGUGCGAGCGUUAAUCGGAAUUACUGGGCGUAAAGCGUGCGCAGGCGGUUGUGCAAGACAGAUGUGAAAUCCCCGGGCUUAACCUGGGAAUUGCAUUUGUGACUGCACGGCUAGAGUGUGUCAGAGGGGGGUAGAAUUCCACGUGUAGCAGUGAAAUGCGUAGAUAUGUGGAGGAAUACCGAUGGCGAAGGCAGCCCCUGGGAUAACACUGACGCUCAUGCACGAAAGCGUGGGGAGCAAACAGG